GGGGAAUUAGCCAGAUGAAAUGAGAAGGAGCAGGUGGGGAACAGAGGAGGGAGCCUGCCCCCACCACACCCAUUCCCUGCAGAAAAACGGCUCUUGAAUCACCCAAAGUCUAAUGAGGGGAAUCCAACUCAUCCCAACUUCUCUUUUCACAUAGUGGAAACGGAGGCACAGGAGGAGAAGGAGGCUGGCAAAGUUCACACAGAGAUGAAGUCAGUUCCCUCAAUCAAGCAGCAACAUUCUGGAAUAAAUGUCCCUAUUUCCUUCAACCCUUUCUCAUGGAUGCUGACCCACUCUCAUUUGUCAGCAGAGGAAGUCGGCUCAGAGAACAGUCACACAGCAAGUCGAUGGCAGCGCCAGGCCCUGUCCUGCAGACUCCUUGUCCCUCUCUCCUCUGAAGCAAACUCUGGGGGCUGAGCUCCCACCCCAGCCUUGCUUGCUGUGUGGCUUGGGGCUUGCCAAUGAGCCUCUCUGAGUCCUGGUUUCCUGGGGUUGACACCAUGAUGCAGGGUAUAGGAAGGGUUAAAUGAGGCGCAGGUGUAACAGAAUCGGGUGCACAUGCAAAAACUCAGAUGUGCAAAUAACUGUUCCCUAUUAACUACAACUAAUCACUUUUUUUAAUUGCCAAUUAAAAUGAACUCAGUCUUUCCAUUAAAGCGGUCUUU
rnacentral:lncRNA from 1 species